GUCAUGCUCGGGCAGUAAUAGUCUAAGCUUCAUCAUGUAAUAAGCUCCACCUGCGUGCACAGUAUGUGCUCCAGGAAAUAUCCUACUCAUCAAUCGGAAUAGUUAUUGUCAUUCUACGAGCUAAAAGACGUCGGUCAUUCUAAAAUGUCUAACUAUACUUUUAGCAAAGCGGCAACACCUGAAGUGUGUCGAUAUCUGUAGGCGUUGCUAAUUGUUGCCAAGUGACAUCUACGGACCCAACGGAGCAAAUAAAGUUAAUGCGAAGAAGACAAAAUUCAAGGAGGAAGUAGGAUAUGGUUAUUGUACCUAAUAUUUGUGGUGUUGAACCACGCAUGGUUAUUGUACCUAAUAUCAUCCGUAUGUACUGUAGCUAUUUUUGCUGCUUUGGAUGGUGAACAGAAAAUUAUGUGAAUGAUAUUAACAACAAAUGGUUUAGCGAAUGAGGCCCUGAUUGGAUGGCACUGGCAAAUGGAUCAUCAAAGUAUAUGUUUCUAAUUUUCCA